UACGGGGGGAGCAAGCGUUGUUCGGAUUUACUGGGCGUAAAGGGCGCGCAGGCGGCCAUCAUUUGUCGAGUGUGAAAGCCCCGGGCUCAACCUGGGAACGGCGCUCGAAACGGGAUGGCUAGAGAUCGGGAGAGGAGCGUGGAAUUCCCAGUGUAGAGGUGAAAUUCGUAGAUAUUGGGAAGAACACCGGUGGCGAAGGCGGCGCUCUGGACCGAUACUGACGCUGAGGCGCGAAAGCGUGGGGAGCAAACAGG
rnacentral:rRNA from 1 species